rnacentral:rRNA from 1 species
UACGUAGGGGGCGAGCGUUGUCCGGAAUUAUUGGGCGUAAAGAGCUCGUAGGCGGCUUGGCAAGUCGGGUGUGAAACCUCCAGGCUCAACCUGGAGCCGCCACUCGAUACUGCCAUGGCUAGAGUCCGGUAGGGGACCAUGGAACUCCUGGUGUAGCGGUGAAAUGCGCAGAUAUCAGGAAGAACACCAGUGGCGAAGGCGGUGGUCUGGGCCGGAACUGACGCUGAGGAGCGAAAGCGUGGGGA